rnacentral:rRNA from 1 species
UUUUAUGGAGAGUUUGAUCCUGGCUCAGGAUGAACGCUGGCGGCGUGCCUAAUACAUGCAAGUCGAGCGAACGGACGAGAAGCUUGCUUCUCUGAUGUUAGCGGCGGACGGGUGAGUAACACGUGGAUAACCUACCUAUAAGACUGGGAUAACUUCGGGAAACCGGAGCUAAUACCGGAUAAUAUUUUGAACCGCAUGGUUCAAAAGUGAAAGACGGUCUUGCUGUCACUUAUAGAUGGAUCCGCGCUGCAUUAGCUAGUUGGUAAGGUAACGGCUUACCAAGGCAACGAUGCAUAGCCGA